GCCUUUGAGAUGGAUGAUAUAACCCCAUCUGAGACACAAAGAUGUUAAGUUGUCCAAGAUCCCAUAGCUAGUGAUGGAGGACGAGGAUUCUUACCCAGGCAGUCUUGUUCCAGAGCUUACACUUUUAACCAGAUAUGAAGAGCACUUUAAGAUGUGCAAUCUCUUUGAAAAAUGGAUCAAACUCUUGAACUCAUGGCAUACUGGAUAUGUUUGUAAAUAAACUUACAACAUGAAUA